GAAACACGAUCAUUGAAUGCACACACUGAAUGCAUUCAUUUCACAAUUUAUUGACAGAUGGCUCAACAUUUUAAAAUCGCAUACCUAAACAAACCUGUAAGCUGUAAAGUACUUUGUGUGCAGCUCUUUCUCGUUUUUUUCCAACAAAUAAGUAAUGGAUAGGUUUGUUAUUAAAAAGCCAAGGACUGAGUCGGCAGUAGAAAGUUCCACAAAUGCAGAUGAGCCGUCAUCUUCAAGCAAUUGUGAUCAAAAUGUGGACCAAAAAAAAACACGAAGCGGAGAGAAAAUUUAGACAGGAAUGGCUACAAAAAUUCAAUUGGCUUAACCAUAAAGCUGACAAAAG